GCCCCCGUGUCCCAACCGGCAGAGGAAGUCGCCUUAAAAGCGACGAGUUCUGGGUUCGAGUCCCAGCGGGGGCA
rnacentral:tRNA from 1 species